CACAUUCAACCUCUUUUUGAUCUUUUCCCCUAUUUGUUUCUUCUAUUUCAUCAAUCUCGCCCACCACAUUAGACUUUUUCAACGAACUUACCACCUCUAUCUCCAAUCCCUUUCCCAAGCCUUCCUUAGAACCAACUUUGCUGGUACUAGUUUCCCCAAAGAGACUUUUACUACAAGAGCUGGAGCUUUGUUCCUUCUUUAUGUCCCCACUAAUUUUUGGAAGAGGGGAAGCUUU
rnacentral:lncRNA from 1 species